CAGUUUCUGGAUAGACCUGAUUCUGUUCUACAAUGUUAAUCUAUUUGUACCUUUGCGCGCUGUGGAUUUUUUAUGAAGUGGCUCCAGCGACAAUAUCCCAGAUCCCUAAAGCUAGCACGGUGAUGGUGGGAACAGAUAUCACAUUCGAAUGCGUUACCAGCGAGGUGCCGAACAAAGCAAGUCUGAUUGUAAAUUGGUGGAAACUUGGUGAUGAAGGACUAUUACAACCAAGUUCCCAUGGCAGAAAACAGGUUAUCCCGUUGGAAAACGAUAGGAGUUUGCUCAAAAUCCUUGAUGUCCGUGUCGCCGACUCUGGGAUAUACUACUGUAGUGUAGUUCAGCAAACAAAUGAGAUUGUGAAAGGAACCGGAUCCAGGCUUGAGGUGCACGCUUCUCCAGAACCUGUCAGCCUUUCCACCAAAGCGCCGGAAACAAACUCGUCCAAUCUCGUCCUCGUGUGCAAGACAGGAGAGUUUUACCCGGAUUCUCUCACCUUCACUUGGUAUAAAAACGACACCAACAUUGAGACUGGUAUCAGCACUAGUAAAAUCCUGAACUCAAACGGAACUUAUGCAGCGUCCAGCAGCUUGCAAACAUCGCAGCCGUCCGGCAGUGGCGCUUUGUACACCUGUCUGGUAACCCACCGCACACUUCAGAGUCCAGCUAUGGCUAUUUACGUUGAUGCCAGUUUUAAUCCGGCCAAAGAAAAAACACAGCUGUUCCUCGUGGUUUUUGGAUGUACAUUGAGCGUAUUCGUUUGCCUUACCGUCAUAGUUCUCAGUCGGAGAAAAUGCCAAUUCCGUAAACAGGAAGAUCAUUAAGGAGGAGAUUGAACAUACGCCAGUACACCAUCGUAAAUGGCGCAAAAGAUAAGAACGAAAGGGGUGUGAAUAACCUCUAGAUAUCCACUUGAAACAAUGAACAAUGAACGAUGAAUUUCAAAUGAUGUAGCAGGACAAAUAAAUAAUUGGAUGAGCUGGAGACUACAUUAACCUGAACCACACGAACUGCCAUCUGUUAAUAAAAAUGUCAAUGUGGCAAU